rnacentral:misc_RNA from 1 species
GACGUAUAUAAAACAUAUACUCAACUGCACAUUUAGUUUAGUAAUAGCUCUCCAAACACUACACAGCAAAAAGGAGGUAAAAAGGCCAACAUAUAGCCACACCAACAUUAGAAACACAGGAAAGUCUUGAUUAGUUAUUCCAAUCAAGACGAAAAAGAAGAAAUGGCAUGCCAAUGCACAACGAUUGUCUCCUUACUAGUUUGGGUAUCACAUCAGUUGAAACAAUUAAAACCCUUGUUCCACGGCAUCAGAUAAUAUACAAAAUAUGAAAUAUCAUAGAAAACUAACCAUAUGCGAUUAAUAACUACAUCUAGACCAUAAUCUGCACACCAUCUUCAUAAAUCACAACUAGUAACUGAAGCACUGGCACAUGUGCACAGAAGAGGAAUCCAAGUAUAUCAAGUCUAAGCUACCCACUACUCAGCUAAGAAUGUAAACUGACAGCAGUCUGAUUAAGCAUAC